GGCCAGCAAAGCAAAUUCUAUUCAUGAUCAUAUUUCUUAGUUUAUUUACAUCUUCAUUGAGCGAACUGUAGAAAAAGACAUUGAUAAAACUGUUAAUGAAAGACAACACGAGAAAAGAUCGAAUCCAAACCAUUCCGUUUUCGACUUUGUGUGUUAACAAACGGAGUCUUAUAACAAAUAACGGCAAAUGACACGUGACAAAAAUGGCGACCAUUACAAUAAGCAAACGGAUAGCCUUUUGUCUUUUUUGGGUCAUCUGAUCGGAGUUUGACAAGUUUCGUUUAUUAAGAUAUACUGAAACUACUAUAUUUGUGACAAAUAAUACAAUUCCCGGCACUCCAAAUAACAGAAUAAAAUCAGUUAUAAUCAAAGCGUUGUGAUACGGUUGAAUGUUGAUCGGUACGAUGCACCUUUUUUCAAUAAAUGUCAUAUUAUCCAUUGUAAUCUCAGCUUCAAUUACGUCAUACACAAACAAAGCCCUGAACGAGUAGAGAAAGGCAGAAAUCCAUACAAUGACGGCCGUUAUUUUUGACACUUUUUCUUUCGUUUGUUUGUAUUUGAUCGGGGAGAUAAUCGCCCGGAAACGAUCGAUUGCAAUACAGGUCAAGGUCAUUGCACUUGCAAAUGCCGCAGUGAAUUCCAUGUAAAGGCACAUCUUACACAUAACAGGGCUCCAUUCUAAUAUGGUUGAGACAAUGAAAAUCUGAUUUGGUAUGACAAAAAUACCAACACACAGGUCCGCAAUACAAAGGGACGAUAAUAAAAUAUUAUUUGAAGAUUUUUUAACACUUCAUUAA
rnacentral:lncRNA from 1 species